rnacentral:lncRNA from 1 species
UGAGCUCAAGCGGUGCCACCUCCUGUCAGGGGAGGUUGCACCGCCCAGUCUCGCUCGGAGACUGAGCCCCAAGCGGUGCCACCGCCUGGCUGGAGCGGUUGCACCUCCCAGUCUCGCUCGGAGACUUAGCCCAGGUGGUGCAACCUCCUGCCUUGGGCGGUUCAACCGCCUGGCAGAAAUCAGGGUCCGAAUGGGUUGAUCCAUUCGGCCCAAUUCGGGUUUUUCAAGGGCCCAAUUGCCCCAAGAUUAAGUUAAUGGGAU